UGGCUUGGUUUCCUGGGAGGUGGACUCAGGGUACUCCAGCUCCUCUCAGCUAAGCCUAGAGUAAAGGGGCCAGAGGUGCACCUGCGUGGGAGAGCUGCCGAAGCAGGAGCCUUGCCUGGGCUGCCCUAGCCUCAUAGGU
rnacentral:snoRNA from 1 species